rnacentral:lncRNA from 1 species
CAAAGUGCGCUUGCGCCUUGAAUUUGUGGUUGCGCAUGCGUAAAACAUAUCUCCUACUCAUGACGUCGCCAUUUUAUAAUUAUUCAAAGUGUAAUAAUUAUUUUCAACUAAUUAACGAUAAAUAACAAAUAUUUAAUAAAAUAAAGUUGAGGAGCCGGACAAACAAAAGCUAUUGAGGUUCUAUGCCAAUUUUUGAAUACUAAACAAUAUGUGCCGGCAAAUAGAGUGCGCUAGUAUUAAGAACUCGAUAGAUUAAUUGCAACGAGGGCAGAUAUUUUCAUCGAAAAUACGAUUACAUGAAAACAGAAGUAGAGAGUAAUAUCGUCAAAGGAUGAUUGGAAAUUUAAAGGCAA